CCCUUAGACGUUCUGGGCCGCACGCGCGCUACACUGACCAGUGCAACAAGCAUCCGUCCUUGGCCGACAGGCCCGGGCAAUCUUUGAACGCUGGUCGUGAUGGGGAUAGACUUUUGCAAUUUUUGGUCUUCAACGAGGAAUUCCUAGUAAACGCAAGUCAUCAACUUGCAUUGAUUACGUCCCUGCCCUUUGUACACAUCGCCCGUCGCACCUACCGAUUGAAUGGUCCGGUGAAGCCUCCGGAUUGGCGCGCACCUCGGUGCCGCCGAGAAGUUGGCUAAACCUUACCAUUUAGAGGAAGGUGAAGUCGUAACA
rnacentral:rRNA from 1 species